rnacentral:tRNA from 1 species
GCGCCCGUGGCUCAGCUGGAUAGAGCAUCGGACUACGAAUCCGAGGGUCGCAGGUUCGAAUCCUGCCGGGCGCGCCA